UGAGCACCCCCGGCGGCGGCCCUGACACAAACUUUUUCGAUCAGAAAAAAGAGCAGCAGUUGAAAAUCGGAAAUUUUGAGAAAAAAUUUCUUGAUUCAAAAAUCAGCAAAAUGGAUGCAAACGAAGAUGACCUGAUAAAUUCCAUAGCGGAAGAGGCGGAAAAGGAGAUUUGCUAUCAUGUCCAGCUGGAACAGCAGAAGAUGCUGUUGCUGGCACGGCGGGAGGUGGAAGAUUGGAAACGAAUCGUUUACG